UUAAACAAGUAACCAGUAACAUUACGAGUACAGAGUACUAAUCAAAGUUCUGCUCCUUCAUCCGACGAUCAAGUUUUGAAAUUUUUAUUGAUGUCUUUUUUUAAUUUUUUCUUGAAAUAUUCAUUGCCGAUCUUUUUUUUGAAGCAUUUCAUUGAUGAUCUGAUGUAUAUAUAUCGCUUAAGGGACAACUCCAAAUUUAAUUAAGCAUUCCUGACAAAAGCAAUUUCAAACUUUUAUAUGUUUAAACGGUAAAUCAAGGAUAUCUACGGUUAUUAAGAUAUUUGAUACUUGAUAGCGCGGGAAGAAGAUGAUCACCUUAGCGGAUAUAGUUGAGGCUAUUAUGUUUCCUUUAGUCCGAGACAAUCUUCCUUCUUGCCGCGGCUCCUCCGAUGGAACGGCCAACAUAGAAACCGGCGGAACAAAAAAGCUCUUCACAUGACCAGAGUCACCAGACCGUUAAUAAGUAAAAUGCCCGUGUAAUUUUCUGGAAUUUUAUUCUUACUAGGGUUGGGUUCUCAGUUCAGGAUCAGAAACACAAGAAAUUAUGUCAACAUUAACACCAUCAUCGUUAUCUGGUUAGUAUCUGUUCUUCCUCUAAUGGUAAUUUUUGAUACCUGUUGAUUGAAUUUGCUUGAUUCAAGAUCAACAGAUAACCAUAUAGAUUCUGUUGUUGUCUCUGGAUUAGAUGCUUUUAUCGAUUUUGGUUGCGGUAGAAGGAUUAUCUGAUGAUGACUACAGAUCAGACGCCUUUUAUUGAAUUUUUGUAUAAUUGUUGCCCUAGUUAAAUAGCAGUGGCUUGCGUGUGUUAGGCUUGGUAACUAAAGACCCAAACCAAAAUUAUACUAAUCCGACACCGGAUUAUAUAUUUAUUUUGAAUUUAUAGCUAUUCCCAACUUGGGUUUGGUUUUGGUUUUGCCUCUGGUGGUUAGUAUCAGCAAUUUAAAGAAAGGUUGUUUUUUGUUUCGAAGAAAUAAUUCCUUGUAUUGGUCUUAAACACUGCCAUUUACUUGUGUGCCGUGUUUAUUUCGGAUAAAGAACUGAACAUUGUCAGCUAAUUCUGGAGAUUUCAAGUUUUUCAUGUCGAUCCAUAAACCUUAACAUGCUUUUCUAUAUUGGAUGCACAUUCAUCCUGAAUUAUUAAGUUCUCAGCUGCUCAAAGCCAAAUACUUCAAACAUGAAGAAUUUAUACACAUCAAUCAGGAUAGAAACAACAAGUCUUGGAUCUGGCUGGGGGUUGAAGUUGGAAGGAAAACUCGUAUCUGGUAUGACUCUUGGAUUAUUAAUAUGAAUUAUAAACCUGCACCAUCUUCUCCAAGCCAUCUGGGUUAUGUUUUUGUUUCAGAACUAAUAAAUACUAAUACUUCUACUUGGAAUUUAACCUACUUCAGACUCUCUUCUCCCCUGAGGUUGUGGAUAAAAUUUUCUAGAAUGCAGAUCAGUAUUGAUGAAGAAGAUAUAACAAGAUGGUCACUUACAAGAGAUGGUAUUUUCACUGUCAAGAGCGCAUAUAACAAAUUAGUUGAAGACAGAUUCAAUUUCCAUACAGCUAUCAAUACAGUCCCUAAGACAGUUUGGAAAUCCCUUUGGAAAAUGAAACUGCCACACAGAGUCAAAUUGUUCACCUGGAAGUGUCUCAAAAACAUUUUUCAGACAAAUGAUAAAACGACUAGAUUCAACCCUGACAUCAGUUCUAUAUGCAGCAUAUGUAAUCAACAGGAAGAAACUCUAUUCCAUUUGUUUCUUCAAUGCAAUCACUCUAGAGCUGUUUGGAGACUUCUUAACAUCAAUAUUGAUCUGGUAGCUGCAAGCUGUAACAGCAUCAAAGAAUGGGUUAUUUCAUGGUUUGAUAAUAAUGCAUUAAAUGGAGUUGUAGAUCAACAGAAAUGGAGGGUGACUCUCAUGGUUGGCUGCUGGAUCAUCUGGAAAUAACGUUGUGAACAUAUUUUUCAGGACAAAUCUCUCAACCCUACUCUUACUGCCUCUAGAAUUAAUUUGCACUUACACAAUUUCCUAAUGGCAGAACAGCAGAGUACCCAUAUAGUAUCACAAUCUAAUACUACUGAACCACAAGUCAACAAUAUAGCUAAAGUUUAUGUGGAUGCAUCUUUCGAUUAUCUUACUAACUCCAUUGGCACUGGUAUGGUGCUUGUUUCUAUUGCAAGAGACUAUGAAGGGAUCAAAGGAUCUUAUGCAGAUGGAAUAAUCGAUCCAGAAGAGGGAGAAUGCAUGGCUGUCUUAGAAGCGUUGAGUUGGAUUAAGGCACAAAAUAUUGAAGAAAUUCAUCUCAUUGCUGAUGCUGAGACUGUGGUGAAUUCUAUCAAGUCUGCCUCAUCUCAAGUUAGAUGGGAAAACAACAAUUUAAUUUCAAGUAUUAGAACUUUGGUUUCUUCUUUCAAAAUCUGCAAAGUUUCUCAUGUAAAGAGAAACCUAAAUAAUUUAGCAGAUUGCAUAUCAAAAAAAGUAAGGAGAGACAAAUUACUUGUUGAGGAGUAUGUUGACUACUCUCCUUGGAUUUUAUCUGUUCUGAGAAGGCAUUCUAUGCCUGACUUCCAUUAAAUAAAAUUCUUAUUGUUAUCAAAAAAAAAACUUUGGAUGCACAUUAGAUGUGAUGAAUAAAGACACUUUUAUUUAUGUAUUCAAUUUGUUGUAUGAACUGUUAGACGCUGGGGACGAGGUCAGCAAAAAAUCUCUAAAAGAGGAACAGCUGAAGAAUUCAGUGGGGCAAAUAGUAACCAGAACGAUGAGACUGAAGCGAACGUGAUUGGCGAGAGAGUGGAGGAAGUUAAAGUUGAUAGUACCGAACAGACUAUGUUAAACGCUGGGGGUGCGUCUAGCAGAAAGCCCCUACAAAAGGAACUACGGAAGAUUUUAGUGGAGGAUAGUGGUCCAGAAUAAUGAGACCAAAUUAAAGGUGAUUUACGAAGAUCGUGGUUUGAGAGUGGAGGAAGCUAAAGUUGAUAGUACCCAACAGAUUGCAUUGUAUGCUCGCAUUAUUCAAGUGCUAGACACUGGUGAUGAGACCAGCAGGAAAUCCCUGAAAGAUGAACUACUGAAGAUUAUAGAGAAGGAAAGUAGUAAGCAGAAUGGUGAGACCAAAGCGAAGGUGAUCAGCGAAAAUGGUUGCUUGAGAGAGACUGAUUUAGGCGAUCGCUGUGUGAAAUGGUUUAAGGGUAAGCAUAAGACCAGUAGAAACUCCCGAGAAGAGCCACCACCAAAGAAGAACAAGUCGGAGGAGAAAAAUGGUGAUCAGAAUGAUGAAUCUAUGUCUGGCUGUUUGAGAGAGUUUCGUAAUUACUCCCGACUACUACAUUUCUUUUUCAUUUGAUUGAUUUGUUGAGAGUAGCAAAAUUAAGCACUUUUGCCGUCUCUCAACUCUUGUUGUUAAAGAUAAAAUAGAAGUGCUGUUAGUAACUCGUCUUUCUCAUCAUUCUUUCUGCUCCUUGCUGUAUUAUUUUGUGAAAAUUGCAGUGGAAAAACGUGCUAGGCUUGCAGAUGGAGAAGAAGUCCAUCAGUUUGAUUAUAUGUCAACUAAACCUUGGUAUCCUGAGAGAAUUUUGAAACCUCUCGGGCCAUUUGUUACAUGAUAGUUUGGCGACCGAAGAAUACAGCCUGAUGAUAAUGUGGAUUUUUUAAAUUAUUCCUCCCUGAAUGUUUCAAGAAAAAUUUAGACGAAACAUAAUUCAUAGGAAUGUAAGUAAUUUUUGCUUGUCCAAUCAAUAAAUAUGCACCCCAAAGAGGAAGCAAUUAUGAUGCGAAAUCAUAAUAAUCUACUCUUUAAUAGUGGCAGCUCGUCAUCUACUUUUUAACUAACCCGGGAAAAAGAUACUCCUCUGUUUCUG